rnacentral:rRNA from 1 species
UCGAACGCUUCUUUUUCCACCGAGACUUGUCUCAUCGGAAAAAGAGGAGUGGCGAACGGGUGAGUAACACGUGGGUAACCUGCCCAUCAGAAGGGGAUAACACUUGGAAACAGGUGCUAAUACCGUAUAACAAUGUUCUUCGCAUGAAGGAUAUUUGAAAGGCGCUUUUGCGUCACUGAUGGAUGGACCCGCGGUGCAUUAGCUAGUUGGUGAGGUAACGGCUCACCAAGGCCACGAUGCAUAGCCGACCUGAGAGGGUGAUCGGCCACACUGGGACUGAGACACGGCCCAGACUCAUACGGGAGGCAGCAGUAGGGAAUCUUCGGCAAUGGACGAAAGUCUGACCGAGCAACGCCGCGUGAGUGAAGAAGGUUUUCGGUAUCGUAAAACUCUGUUGUUAGAGAAGAACAAGGAUGAGAGUAAAAUGUUCAUCCCUUGACGGUAUCUAACCAGAAAGCCACGGCUAACUACGUGCCAGCAGCCGCGGUAAUACGUAGGUCGCAAGCGUUGUCCGGAUUUAUUGGGCGUAAAGCGAGCGCAGGCGGCUUCUUAAGUCUGAUGUGAAAGCCCCCGGCUUAACCGGGGAGGGUCAUUGGAAACUGGGAGACUUGAGUGCAGAAGAGGAGAGUGGAAUUCCAUGUGUAGCGGUGAAAUGCGUAGAUAUAUGGAGGAACACCAGUGGCGAAGGCCGCUCUCUGGUCUGUAACUGACGCUGAGGCUCGAAAGCGUGGGGAGCAAACAGGAUUAGAUACCCUGGUAGUCCACGCCGUAAACGAUGAGUGCUAAGUGUUGGAGGGUUUCCGCCCUUCAGUGCUGCAGCAAACGCAUUAAGCACUCCGCCUGGGGAGUACGACCGCAAGGUUGAAACUCAAAAGCA